rnacentral:rRNA from 1 species
GGUAGCAUAAUCACUUGCCUUUUAAUUGAAGGCUAGUAUGAAAGGACACACAAGAAUAAAGCUGUCUCACGUGAACAACUAUAAACUGAUAUGCAGGUGCAGAAGCCUGCACACCCAUAAAGGACAAGAAGACCCUAUAGAGCUUUAUCGCUUAAAGUCGUUAACCUAACCGGCGAUUUGGUUGGGACAACCAAAAGACAUAAAAACCUCUUUUCACAUGGCUAGAAUACUAACCCAAUAAUGUAUAAAAGUAGCUACCUUAGGGAUAACAGGGUAAUCCUAUUAGAGAGAUCACAUUGACAAUAGGGGUUG